CCCUUAGAUGUUCGGGGCCGCACGCGCGCUACACUGAAGGGAUCAGCGUGUUUUCCCUUUCCGAGAGGAACGGGUAACCCGCUGAACCCCCUUCGUGGUAGGGAUCGGAGCUUGCAAUUGUUCUCCGUGAACCAGGAAUUCCCAGUAAGCGCAAGUCAUAAGCUUGCGUUGAUUACGUCCCUGCCCUUUGUACACACCGCCCGUCGCUACUACCGAUUGAACGUUUUAGUGAGGUAUUUGGACUGGGCCUUGGGAGGUUUCGGUCUCCCUUGUUGCUCGGAAAGACUCCCAAACUUGAGCGUUUAGAGGAAGUAAAAGUCGUAACA
rnacentral:rRNA from 1 species